rnacentral:ncRNA from 1 species
AUGUCAGAGGCGCGAAAUCGAUCAGUACCGCGGGCAAGGCUCUCAAAAGCCGUUGACCCCACGGGAAAGGCGAUUUUGCCGAAGCGGUUUGCGUUUGAGCGCGAUCCGGCUGGGCGCACGGAGAAUAUCCCUGCGACUGUCGCAAAAUUUGCGGAGUGCUGCA